rnacentral:rRNA from 1 species
CAGUAGCCGCGGGAAUACGAGGGGGGCAAGCGUUGUUCGGAAUUAUUGGGCGUAAAGGGCGCGUAGGCGGUUUGGCAAGUUUGGUGUGAAAUCUUCGGGCUCAACUCGAAGUCUGCAUCGAAAACUGCCGGGCUUGAGUGUGGGAGAGGUGAGUGGAAUUUCCGGUGUAGCGGUGAAAUGCGUAGAUAUCGGAAGGAACACCUGUGGCGAAAGCGGCUCACUGGACCACAACUGACGCUGAGGCGCGAAAGCUAGGGGAGCAAACAGGAUUAGAGACCCCGGUAGUCCCUGUCUCUUAUAC